GCGGGUAUAGUUUAGUGGUAAAAGUCUGAGACAAAUUUCCAUAAAGGAGCCGAAUGAAACGAAAAUUUCAUG
rnacentral:tRNA from 3 species